rnacentral:lncRNA from 1 species
GCUUAUGGAUAUGAAAAGGCUUUCCCAAAGAAGCCAUGGAGUAGAAUCCAGGUCUCCCAGUUCGUGAUCAGUCUUCCAUCUCCCUGGUGGGCCAGAGAUAUUUCAAGUUGGCAGAGUCAAGCAUGAGCAAGGAGAUGGUGUGGGGCAGAGUGUGAACCAUAUAUUCCUAGACCCCAGUGAUGAAGGCUAAAUGAGACAAUAUACGUCAUGCAUCUUGCACUUCCUGCCACACAGAGCUUCCAUGGAUACUGAAAGAUCAGCUGACACGUGCCUUCAAGGCUAAAAUGAAUGUGGAUAUCAAUAGUGAUGAGAAGAAAUGGUCUAAAAUAAAGAAACAGCAUGUGCAAAAGUGAAGAUUAUGAUGCUAUGUCAGUUACCUUCAGGACCCAAUUGUAGCCACUUCAGCUGGCCCAGGCUUUCCCGAAAUGUGAAGACAGCAAACUCCCACUCUUCCUCCUGCAGACUGGUGGCAAAAACACAAAGUCCACUUGAGACCAUGAAGUCCAAGGAUCUUUUCUUAUUCCUGGAAUAUACUAGGAAAAAUACAGGCACCGUGCAGCGGGUGCUGUGUUCUAGCUGCUCUGUUAACUGCCAGUUACCUCAUUUGAUCCUGAUGACAACCCUUGGGUAAACAAAGGAUCCAGGCCACUGUAACAUCAAAGUACAUCAAGUCAAACUGAACAAGGAAGAAAGGAAAGGAAUCGUUGAACCAAAGGAGAAGGACUGGUAUAUAAAUGGAAUCAAGGAGGCAGUGGUGGCUGCAAUCAACGCCUGAAGAUAAAAGCCACAGCACUCAAAUAACAAUCCUCGUUAGAGUGACAAACAGACUGCAGCU